AAGACCCUCAUCUUUAAUUGCAACUGGUAAGUCCGCUUAUCAGGCACAUUAAAGAAACCGCUGGCGCUAAGUCAGAGGAAGGUGAGGGCAACGGUAGGUCAGUAUGCCCUGAAUCCUCCGGGCUACACGCGCGCUACAAAGGAUAGGACAAUGGGUCCCGACACCGAAAGGUGAAGGUAAUCUCGAAACCUAUUCAUAGUUCGGAUCGAGGGUUGUAACUCACCCUCGUGAAGCUGGAAUCCGUAGUAAUCGCGGAUCAACAUCCCGCGGUGAAUAU
rnacentral:rRNA from 1 species